UACGAAGGGGGCUAGCGUUGUUCGGAAUUACUGGGCGUAAAGGGCGCGUAGGCGGCUGUGCAAGUCAGGUGUGAAAGCCCUGGGCUCAACCCAGGAUGUGCACUUGAUACUGCGCAGCUAGAGUGUCGGAGAGGAUGGUGGAAUUCCCAGUGUAGAGGUGAAAUUCGUAGAUAUUGGGAAGAACACCAGUGGCGAAGGCGGCCAUCUGCCUGGAAUGACGCUGAGGCGGACGAAAGCGUGGGGAGCAAACAGG
rnacentral:rRNA from 1 species